rnacentral:rRNA from 1 species
GUAGCGGGGGAUAACUACUCCAAAGAGUGGCUAAUACCGCAUACUAUUGGAGCGGCCGAUAUCGGAUUAGCUAGUUGGUGGGGUAAAGGCUCACCAAGGCAACGAUCCGUAGCUGGUUUGAGAGGACGACCAGCCACACUGGGACUGAGACACGGCCCAGACUCCUACGGGAGGCAGCAGUUGGGAAUUUUGGACAAUGGGGGAAACCCUGAUCCAGCCAUCCCGCGUGUAUGAUGAAGGCCUUCGGGUUGUAAAGUACUUUUGGCAGGGAAGCGGUAUCUGCAGAAUAAGCACCGGCUAACUACGUGCCAGCAGCCGCGGUAAUUC